rnacentral:rRNA from 1 species
CAGCAGCCGCGGUAAUACGUAGGUGGCAAGCGUUGUCCGGAUUUAUUGGGCGUAAAGAGAAUGUAGGCGGUUUAUUAAGUUUGAAGUGAAAGCCCUCGGCUCAACCGAGGAAGUGCUUCGAAAACUGGUAAACUUGAGUGCAGAAGAGGAAAGUGGAACUCCAUGUGUAGCGGUGGAAUGCGUAGAUAUAUGGAAGAACACCAGUGGCGAAGGCGGCUUUCUGGUCUGUAACUGACGCUGAGAUUCGAAAGCAUGGGUAGCAAACAGGAUUAGAUACCCUGGUAGUCCAUGCCGUAAACGAUGAGUGCUAAGUGUUGGAGGGUUUCCGCCCUUCAGUGCUGCAGCUAACGCAUUAAGCACUCCGCCUGGGGAGUACGAUCGCAAGAUUGAAACUCAAAGGAAUUGACGG